rnacentral:rRNA from 1 species
UCAAGCGAACAAGUGCAUGUGGUGGAUGCCUUGGCGAUCACAGGCGAUGAAGGACGCGGUAGCCUGCGAAAAGCCCCGGGGAGCUGGCAAACAAGCUUUGAUCCGGGGAUGUCCGAAUGGGGAAACCCACUCCUUAUGGAGUAUCCAUGACUGAAUACAUAGGUCAUGUGAAGCGAACGCGGUGAACUGAAACAUCUAAGUAACCGCAGGAAAAGAAAUCAACCGAGAUUCCCAAAGUAGUGGCGAGCGAAAUGGGAUGAGCCUUGUACUCUUUAUUUGUAUUGUUAGCCGAACGCUCUGGAAAGUGCGGCCAUAGCAGGUGAUAGCCCUGUAGGCGAAAACAGUAUGAAAGAACUAGGUGUACGACAAGUAGGGCGGGACACGUGAAAUCCUGUCUGAAGAUGGGGGGACCAUCCUCCAAGGCUAAAUACUCGUGAUCGACCGAUAGUGAACCAGUACCGUGAGGGAAAGGCGAAAAGAACCCCGGGAGGGGAGUGAAAUAGAUCCUGAAACCGCAUGCAUACAAACAGUCGGAGCCUCGUAAGGGGUGACGGCGUACCUUUUGUAUAAUGGGUCAGCGACUUACGUUCAGUAGCAAGCUUAACCGUAUAGGGCAGGCGUAGCGAAAGCGAGUCCGAAUAGGGCGUUCAGUUGCUGGGCGUAGACCCGAAACCAGGUGAUCUAUCCAUGGCCAGGAUGAAGGUGCGGUAACACGUACUGGAGGUCCGAACCCACUAACGUUGAAAAGUUAGGGGAUGAGCUGUGGAUAGGGGUGAAAGGCUAAACAAACCUGGAAAUAGCUGGUUCUCUCCGAAAACUAUUUAGGUAGUGCCUCGUGUCUCACCUUCGGGGGUAGAGCACUGUCAUGGUUGGGGGGUCUAUUGCAGAUUACCCCGCCAUAGCAAACUCCGAAUACCGAAGAGUGCAAUCACGGGAGACAGACAUCGGGUGCUAACGUCCGGUGUCAAGAGGGAAACAACCCAGACCGCCAGCUAAGGUCCCCAAAUAUGGCUAAGUGGGAAACGAAGUGGGAAGGCUAAAACAGUCAGGAGGUUGGCUUAGAAGCAGCCACCCUUUAAAGAAAGCGUAAUAGCUCACUGAUCGAGUCGUCCUGCGCGGAAGAUGUAACGGGGCUAAGCCAUAUACCGAAGCUGCGGAUGCGUGCUUGCACGCAUGGUAGGAGAGCGUUCCGUAAGCCUGCGAAGGUGCCUUGUAAAGGGUGCUGGAGGUAUCGGAAGUGCGAAUGCUGACAUGAGUAGCGAUAAAGGGGGUGAAAGGCCCCCUCGCCGUAAGCCCAAGGUUUCCUACGCAACGUUCAUCGGCGUAGGGUGAGUCGGCCCCUAAGGCGAGGCAGAAAUGCGUAGCUGAUGGGAAGCAGGUCAAUAUUCCUGCACCGUCGUUAGAUGCGAUGGGGGGACGGAUCGCGGAAGGUUGUCCGGGUGUUGGACGUCCCGGUCGCUGCAUUGGAGAAGGCGCUUAGGCAAAUCCGGGCGCAGGAUUCAAGGGUGUGGCGCGAGCGACUUCGGUCGCGAAGCAAUUGGAAGUGGUUCCAAGAAAAGCCUCUAAGCUUCAGUCUAACGAUGACCGUACCGCAAACCGACACAGGUGGGCGAGAUGAGUAUUCUAAGGCGCUUGAGAGAACUCGGGAGAAGGAACUCGGCAAAUUGGUACCGUAACUUCGGGAUAAGGUACGCCCUUGUAGCUUGACUGGCCUGCGCCAGGAGGGUGAAGGGGUUGCAAUAAACUGGUGGCUGCGACUGUUUAAUAAAAACACAGCACUCUGCAAACACGAAAGUGGACGUAUAGGGUGUGACGCCUGCCCGGUGCCGGAAGAUUAAAUGAUGGGGUGCAAGCUCUUGAUUGAAGUCCCGGUAAACGGCGGCCGUAACUAUAACGGUCCUAAGGUAGCGAAAUUCCUUGUCGGGUAAGUUCCGACCUGCACGAAUGGCGUAACGAUGGCCACACUGUCUCCUCCCGAGACUCAGCGAAGUUGAAGUGUUUGUGAUGAUGCAAUCUACCCGCGGCUAGACGGAAAGACCCCAUGAACCUUUACUGUAGCUUUGCAUUGGACUUUGAACCGAUCUGUGUAGGAUAGGUGGGAGGCUAUGAAACCGGAACGCUAGUUUCGGUGGAGCCGUCCUUGAAAUACCACCCUGGUUUGUUUGAGGUUCUAACCUUGGCCCGUGAUCCGGGUCGGGGACAGUGCAUGGUAGGCAGUUUGACUGGGGCGGUCUCCUCCCAAAGGGUAACGGAGGAGUACGAAGGUACGCUAGGUACGGUCGGAAAUCGUGCUGAUAGUGCAAUGGCAUAAGCGUGCUUAACUGCGAGACCGACAAGUCGAGCAGGUGCGAAAGCAGGUCAUAGUGAUCCGGUGGUUCUGUAUGGAAGGGCCAUCGCUCAACGGAUAAAAGGUACUCUGGGGAUAACAGGCUGAUACCGCCCAAGAGUUCAUAUCGACGGCGGUGUUUGGCACCUCGAUGUCGGCUCAUCUCAUCCUGGGGCUGUAGCCGGUCCCAAGGGUAUGGCUGUUCGCCAUUUAAAGAGGUACGUGAGCUGGGUUUAAAACGUCGUGAGACAGUUUGGUCCCUAUCUGCCGUGGGCGUUGGAUAUUUGAAGGGGGCUGCUCCUAGUACGAGAGGACCGGAGUGGACGAACCUCUGGUGUACCGGUUGUGACGCCAGUCGCAUCGCCGGGUAGCUAUGUUCGGAAGAGAUAACCGCUGAAAGCAUCUAAGCGGGAAACUCGCCUUAAGAUGAGAUAUCCCUGGAGGCUUGACCUCCUUGAAGGGUCGUUCGAGACCAGGACGUUGAUAGGUCGGGUGUGUAAGCGCAGUAAUGCGUUCAGCUAACCGAUACUAAUUGCCCGUAAGGCUUGAUC